rnacentral:rRNA from 1 species
UACGGAGGGUGCAAGCGUUGUCCGGAUUUACUGGGCGUAAAGGGCGCGUAGGCGGCGCAACAAGUCACUUGUGAAAUCUCCGGGCUUAACCCGGAGCGGCCAAGUGAUACUGUCGUGCUAGAGUGCGGAAGGGGCUACUGGAAUUCUCGGUGUAGCGGUGAAAUGCGUAGAUAUCGAGAGGAACACCUGCGGCGAAGGCGGGUUGCUGGGCUGAUACUGACGCUGAGGCGCGAAAGCCAGGGGAGCGAACGGG